UGACGUACAGUCCACUGUGAUGGGGACCCUGCCUGAGAUGUAUGCAGCCUCACAGGGCCGAAGCCAACUCACAGUGAGGUGAUGGACACGGUGCCAUCCAGCUAACCUUUGGGAGCAGAUGAGCAUUGAAGGUAUCCCAGAAGAUGACAGCACAUUGUCCAAGUCUGGUCAGAGCCAGUGACACGAGAACCUGCCUGGGUGACGGUGAGUAGAGGGAUCAUGGGGGCUGGGGUCAUGUGCCACACUACUCAGAUCUGUGUCUGGUUUUCUUUCUUGCAGUUGACUCCUAGUAGUCUGAUGAUGGCAGGAACCUCUGAGCCAGCCAGGUGCCCCUCCU